ensembl:snoRNA SNORA9 small nucleolar RNA, H/ACA box 9
AUGCAGGCCUUUCCAGCGAGGCUCAGCCUGCACUGGCUUUGUCCUUUCCUACAGUGCCUGCUAAAGAAACCUGGGCUUGUUUGAGGCUUUGUCGUAUUAUGUUUACGGCAAAGUUAUGUAAUCCCCCAGACAUCU